AAAAUAAUCCUACCCUUUGUGAAUUUUGUUUGUUUGAAUAAUUUUUUUUUUUUAAAAAAUUAUUGGAGUCUUCCCCUUUAGAGUUUGCUUUUGAGUUUGUAAAAGAAUUCGAAAACAUCUAAAGGGGAUGGUCAAUAAUUUUUUUUGAAAAAAGACAUUUUUUAAAAUUAAACUUUUUGUAUUCAUUUGUCUAAAAAUUAUUUUUAUAAUAUAAAAACAACUUUUGACAAUGGAUCUCUUGGUUCUCGCAACGAUGAAGAACGCAGCAAAAUGCGAUAAGUAGUGUGAAUUGCAGAAUACGUGAAUCAUCGAAUCUUUGAACGCAUAUUGCACUUUUUUAGUUUACUAAAAAAGUAUGUCUGUUUGAGUAUCAGUAAAAUAUUCUCAUAAAAAUCAUUGUGUAUUUUUAUGGUUAUGAGUGUUUUACAACGAUACAAGUUGUUUCACUUUAAAUUUUUUUUUAAUAUUGAAAUUUUUCUAAUUUUAAUAAUUAAAAUUGGAUAAAAUUUUCCCGUCAAAAGGAAUAACCUAAACAAUUUUAAAUGAUUAAUUUUAGCAAAAUUUUCGUAAAAAAGGAAAAUUUUUAUUAAAAUAACUUGAUCUCAAAUCAGAUAAGAGUACCCGCUGAACUUAAGCAUAUCAAUAAGCGGAGGAAAAGAAACUAACAAGGAUUCCCUUAGUAACGGCGAGUGAAGCGGGAAGAGCUCAAAUUUGAAAUCUUCAAGGUUUUACCUUGACGAAUUGUAGUUUAAAGAAGUGUUCUCUGCUGAAGUUUUGGUAAAAGUUCUUUGGAAUAGGACAUCAUAGAGGGUGAGAAUCCCGUAUUUGACCAUUAUUUUCAGCUUUGUGAUACACUUUCAAAGAGUCGGAUUGUUUGGGAAUGCAGUCCAAAAUGGGUGGUAAAUUUCAUCUAAAGCUAAAUAUUGGCGAGAGACCGAUAGCGAACAAGUACCGUGAGGGAAAGAUGAAAAGAACUUUGAAAAGAGAGUUAAACAGUACGUGAAAUUGUCAAAAGGGAAGCGUUUGACACCAGUGUUGUUUUCUCGAAAAUCAAUUAAAAAUGGCUCGAUUUUGUAUUGCUUGAGACCUUAAAAGCUCACUGUACAUUUUUCGUGUCUUUUUUAAUGCACUUUUCGUUUAACAAGUCAACAUCAGUUUCUUUUGUUGUAAAAGGGUCAUUGGAAGGUGGCUUUCUUUUCGGAGAAAGUGUUUAUAGCCUUUGGCCUCUGCAAUCGGAGAGACUGAGGUCUGCAGCGUAGACUCUUCGGGGUUAGAUACAUUUGUGCUAGUUAUAGCUUUUUAUAGACAACUUGUUGACUAUAAUUAGUCUUGUAGCUUACUCGCUUAUGCUAUUUUACCUACGCUUAGGAUG
rnacentral:misc_RNA from 1 species